AGUGGGAAUCCUGUCUCACCACAGCUCAGAUUCUACAUGGUACUACUUCUCCUGCAGCAUGUAAGCAAAAGCCCUGAGCACGAAUGAGGUCACUAAGGAAAGCAUAUGGGUGAGAGGGGCAGAAGAUACUGGAACACCUUGGGAAACACCAAUAUUUAAGGUCUCAAAAUUUAAUGUUUCUUUCUUCUUGAAAGAAACUAUGAAGAAAUAGCCAGAUUCAUGAGUAAGACCAAAACAUAAUAGGUGGGGAGAACAAGUGUAAGGAAGGGGGAAGGGGAAAACAAGGCCUAUUGUCAAGAGAAGUCACACAAACCAAGAAGAGAGUGUGUCCAUUGGAUUUUCAACUAUGAGAGUCUGGCCAAACUUGGCAGGAAGACUUUCAGCAAAAUGUCAAAGUGGACAUGGAGGUUGUUUGGAUUGAAGAGUUAUGCAUGUUCCCUUCCACCUACUAAUUCCAACUCGGGAAAUAAAAUCAAGAGACUGGAGCUGAGAAAAAACAAGAAGCAAACUUGAUUUAAGCUUCGAUUUUCCAUGUAACACAGCUUGAAAAUAGCAAGCUAUAUGACUCCUUGUGGGGAUAAUAAACAAUGCAAUGCAUUUCUCUGAAGGCUUCGAAAAA